rnacentral:misc_RNA from 1 species
GAUGAAGAACGCAGCGAAAUGCGAUACUUGGUGUGAAUUGCAGAAUCCCGUGAACCAUCGAGUCUUUGAACGCAAGUUGCGCCCGAAGCCAUCAGGUUGAGGGCACGUCUGCCUGAGCGUCACAUAUCGUUGCCCAAUGCCUAUUGCAGUGCAAUAGGAAUUUCUAGGGCGAAUGAUGGCUUCCCGUGAGCGUUGUUGCCUCGCGGUUGGUUGAAAAUCGAGUCCUUGGUAGGGUGUGCCAUGGUAGAUGGUGGUCGAGUUAGAACGAUACCGAUCAUGUGCAUGCUCCCCAAAAUAUGGCCUCUAUGACCCACACGCGUCUUUUGACGCUCAUGACGAGACCUCAGGUCAGGCGGGGCUACCCGCUGAAUUUAAGCAUAUCAAUAAGCGGAGGA